rnacentral:rRNA from 1 species
CAGCAGCCACGGGAAUACGAAGGGUGCAAGCGUUACUCGGAAUUACUGGGCGUAAAGCGUGCGUAGGUGGUGGUUUAAGUCCGUUGUGAAAGCCCUGGGCUCAACCUGGGAAUUGCAGUGGAUACUGGGUCACUAGAGUGUGGUAGAGGAUAGUGGAAUUACCGGUGUAGCAGUGAAAUGCGUAGAGAUCGGAAGGAACAUCUGUAGCGAAGGCGACUAUCUGGGCCAACACUGACACUGAGGCACGAAAGCGUGGGGAGCAAACAGGAUUAGAUACCCCAGUAGUCCCUGUCUCUUAUAA